rnacentral:rRNA from 1 species
UACGUAUGGAGCAAGCGUUAUCCGGAUUUACUGGGUGUAAAGGGAGCGUAGGCGGCUCUGUAAGUCUGAUGUGAAAAUUUGGGGCUCAACCCCAAACGUGCAUUGGAAACUGCAGGGCUUGAGUGCCGGAGAGGCAGGCGGAAUUCCUAGUGUAGCGGUGAAAUGCGUAGAUAUUAGGAGGAACACCAGUGGCGAAGGCGGCCUGCUGGACGGAAACUGACGCUGAGGCUCGAAAGCGUGGGGAGCAAACAGG